UCCGGUUGAUCCUGCCGGAGGCUACUGCUAUUGGAAUUCGACUAAGCCAUGCGAGUCAAGGUGUCUUCGGACGCCGGCAAACGGCUCAGUAACACGUAGGUAAUCUACCCUCAGGACUGAGAUAACCCCGGGAAACUGGGGCUAAUACCAGAUAGAUAAAAGAUACUGGAAUGUUCUUUUAUCCAAAGCUUUUGUGCCUGAGGAUGAGCCUGCGCCCGAUUAGGUAGUUGGUGGGGUAAUGGCCCACCAAGCCUGCGAUCGGUACGGGCAGUGGGAGCUGUAGCCCGGAGUUGGGGACUGAGACAAGGCCCCAGGCCCUACGGGGCGCAGCAGGCGCGAAACCUCUGCAAUGCGGGAAACCGUGACAGGGGGAUUCCAAGUGCUCAUGCAUUGCAUGGGCUGUUCUUUGGUCUAAGUAACCAGAGGAGUAAGGGCUGGGCAAGACCGGUGCCAGCCGCCGCGGUAAUACCGGCAGCUCGAGUGGUAGCCGCGAUUAUUGGGCCUAAAACGUUCGUAGCCGGAUAAGUAAGUCUUUGGUUAAAUCCUACGACUUAACCGUGGGAAAUCUAGAGAUACUGCUUGUCUUGAGACCGGGAGAGGUUGGAGGUACUCCCAGGGUAGGGGUGAAAUCCUGUAAUCCUGGGGGGACCACCUGUGGCGAAGGCGUCCAACUGGAACGGCUCUGACGGUGAGGGACGAAACCUAGGGGAGCGAGCCGGAUUAGAUACCCGGGUAGUCCUAGGCGUAAAUGAUGCGAGUUAAGUGUGGGGGCAUCUACGAGAUGGCCCUGUGCUGUAGGGUAGCCGUUAAACUCGCUGCCUGGGGAGUACGGUCGCAAGGCUGAAACUUAAAGGAAUUGGCGGGGGAGCACCACAAGAGGUGGAGGCUGCGGUUCAAUUGGAGUCAACGCCGGA
rnacentral:rRNA from 1 species